rnacentral:rRNA from 1 species
ACUGCUCAGUAACACGUGGAUAACCUGCCCUUGGGUCCGGCAUAACCCCGGGAAACUGGGGAUAAUUCCGGAUAACGCAUAUAUGCUGGAAUGCUUUAUGCGUCAAAUGGAUUCGUCUGCCCAAGGAUGGGUCUGCGGCCUAUCAGGUAGUAGUGGGUGUAAUGUACCUACUAGCCGACGACGGGUACGGGUUGUGAGAGCAAGAGCCCGGAGAUGGAUUCUGAGACAUGAAUCCAGGCCCUACGGGGCGCAGCAGGCGCGAAAACUUUACAAUGCGGGAAACCGUGAUAAGGGGACACCGAGUGCCAGCAUCAUAUGCUGGCUGUCCGGGUGUGUAAAAUACACCUGUUAGCAAGGGCCGGGCAAGACCGGUGCCAGCCGCCGCGGUAACACCGGCGGCCCGAGUGGUGAUCGUGAUUAUUGGGUCUAAAGGGUCCGUAGCCGGUUUGGUCAGUCCUCCGGGAAAUCUGACGGCUUAACCGUUAGGCUUUCGGAGGAUACUGCCAGGCUUGGAACCGGGAGAGGUAAGAGGUACUACAGGGGUAGGAGUGAAAUCUUGUAAUCCCUGUGGGACCACCUGUGGCGAAGGCGUCUUACCAGAACGGGUUCGACGGUGAGGGACGAAAGCUGGGGGCACGAACCGGAUUAGAUACCCGGGUAGUCCCAGCCGUAAACGAUGCUCGCUAGGUGUCAGGCAUGGCGCGACCGUGUCUGGUGCCGCAGGGAAGCCGUGAAGCGAGCCACCUGGGAAGUACGGCCGCAAGGCUGAAACUUAAAGGAAUUGGCGGGGGAGCAC